CCACCCCCGACGAGUGUGUCUUGAAGAGAUAGUGGGAAGGGUUAAUGGUUCUUAAAAGGAAGAAAAUAAAAUACCUCAGCACUUGAUUCAUUCAAUCGUUGGUAUCCCGCGAGCUUAAACCAUCCGAGGAAUCGUUCCUAAUUUUGUCGCAAAAUGUUACACAAAUUGUGUUGUGGAAGCAAAAGUUACAGCAUGGAGUCCGGAUCAGUUGGCAGGGAUAGUGUCGCUCAGGAAUCGAGUACCGGAUCAGUAUCCACCGUAACAGUUCAACCUGGAUUCAAAAAUAUUAACACGGAAAGUGCACCAACGAGUACAGAAAAUGGAAGUUAAUUUGCGUAAUUUUUAAGUGAAAAUAUAAACAAUCGAAUCUUUAUUGCAUGAUUUAGUAUGCUACAAUGUGAAAAGUUUUAUUUUUUUAAUCCUGUGUAAAAUAAAUGUUUGGAAAAAGUGACAAGAA